ensembl:lncRNA
AACAGACUCUGAUUCCUUCAUUCUCCUUCUAAACACUGGUGACAGCUGUGCACAGGAUUCUACAUAUGUUUUGUGAAAGUUGCACAGAGCUAUGUGAAAAACAAGAUGCUUCCAUGACAGAAAUAUGAAGAUCCGGGAAAACUGAUGUAAUGGGUCGCUCACUUCUGAGCUUCUGAGGCGUCAAAGCAAGGAGGCUGGACAAGCAACCACACCAGUGGGUCUCAGAGCACAGGAAAGACCCUUCUGCCAUGGAAGCACCACGCACCUCCCUGCAUAGACAAAGCGCUACAAAAGGGGAGUUAUGAUGAGCACCUCUUCAAGCUGUCAGCUGUCAGUGGAGUGUUUUCUCUUUCUACUUUGGGGUGGUAUUCCAAACUGGGAGCUACAGGAAAAGGAAGAGGUAACACAACAAUAAUUAUGAAGGAAAGGAUGAGAAGGCACCGUAUGUUCCCAUCAUACUAG